GCGCCUUUAGCUCAGUUGGUAGAGCGUUCCCUUGACGUGGGAAAGGUCACAGGUUCGAAUCCUGUAGGGCGCA
rnacentral:tRNA from 1 species